GCGCGUCGCCGUCCCACACAGCCGCCGGAGGCGGCAGCGGCAGCGCGCCGGCCGCCGGCCUCCAUGCAGCCUGGGUCCUCACACGGUGACGAAGCGACGCGCACGAGCAACGUUGCACGCCGUCCGGUGCUCGAUACUAUGGACAAGUUUCUUCUCAAAAGAAAUGCACCAUCACAGCCAGAAGACAUAAAUUGGGAAGAGGAGAUUCAGUAUGAUCAGGGCAAUCGCCUCAAUGAUGAAAGUUUGAGUGAUGAUAUUAUUUGUUAUGUGGAGAAGGAAGAAAUGAAAAGGGCCACCAAUGCUCAAGUGGUUGAGUAUUUCAUGGCCUGGAGGAAUAGAAACAAGUGGUUGAGUAUUUCAUGGCCUGGAGGAAUAGAAACAUACUAAGGUAAUUUUCAAUUUUUAGCAAUCUAAGUACUUUCAUUUGGGCUACAUUUCAAGUAGUUAUAUCCCUUGUUUUAUCAUUAUAGUAAACAAUUUGAUGGCUA